rnacentral:rRNA from 1 species
AUGGAGAAUGCAUUGCUGAAGCUUUGGUCAAUGGUUGAAGAGAGCAAGUCUGCUAGGGUGAAUGAUAAUCUUCAAAGUGCUCUAACUAUUCAUCAGUUGACAGAAGAAAAGAACAAGCUGGAUGCAGACUAUGACAAGUUAGUGAAAGAUGUGCAUCAACUUGUGGACUUUCAGCAGGAUAGGGUUGUGGAUUUCAGUUAUCUGCAGUCUGCUGUCACAUAUCAGCACCAAUGCAGAGCUGAAUUGGUGGCUGGUAUGAAUGCAGAAAUGGCAAAGAAAGAUGCAGCUGCACAGAAGCUUCAACAUAAGUAUGAACUCCUGUGCAACCUGACAAGUGCUCAAGCAACUGUCAUCCAAAACUUGAAGUUGAAGAAUAUGAAAGAGAAGGAAUUGUUGAGUGAGGCUAGGAUGAAUUUGGAGUUGAAGAAUGCAGAGUUCACAAAGUUUGAGGAGAAGCUCACCCAAGAGAAGGUAGAGUUGAAGCUCCAGGUUGCUGAUCUGCUGAAGCUCAAGGAAAACCAUAAUGAAGAGAAGCAGAUGCAAGAGUUUAAGAUUACUGAGCUCAUCAAGGCAGAGGAGAAGCUGAAGGAGAAGAUCAAGGGGAUCCAGGCCAUCUUGCAGAACUGA